rnacentral:lncRNA from 1 species
AAAAAAAUGAAAGCAAUUUUUCCAAAUUGCUUUCCCUAAAGACUAUGCCAAUUUCCACUUCUAUCCAGACAAAAUAUUCUUCAAAAAUGAAAGUGAAAUAAAGAUAUAUUAAGAUAAACAAAAGCUGAGAAAAUAUGUUGCCAGAAGACCCACAUAAGAGAAAUGCAAAAAGAAAAUCUUCAGGCUGAAGAGGAGUGAUCCAGUGUUCAAAUCCAAAAGAAGACAUGAGACGCCCUGGAAAUGGUAGACCUAUGGAACCCUUAAACAGUUAAGAAGAACCCUGUCACAGAGUAACAACGGUGAAACAACACACGUGCAACAUAUGACCAGAACAAGUGAAACCUCACCUUCCAAAUGACUCUACUGGCAACCAAGUCUGCCUCAUCCUUCUUUCAUUGGGCAACACAUGGAUUUUGUCAAGAUCCACUGCUGACGCGAUCCUGUUGCCCAGCGAGCAUUCGUAGGAGCAGAGGAAAUGCUCUCCACUGGAAUAUGGGGCUGGUAGAACUCAGGAAAUGUGGGGUCAGCUUUAUAGACAUGCACACAAACAUUCAAUAUAUUUAACAUAUAACAUAUUGUAUCUUUAACAAUUUGAAUGCCUUUCUAACAAAUUGGAGAUUCGUGUACCUAUACGUUAGUGCUAUUAAUUUAAUACUGUCAUUCUAUAUUUAAUAUAUGAGAUUAUCAAUUUAGAAUUACAAUGCAUCUAUAAUUAAGUGUUUCAUUAAGGAAAAUCUUACUGUGUUUGCUAUAGAAUUUUGUCUGUCUAUACCCG